rnacentral:rRNA from 1 species
GACGAAGGGUGCAAGCGUUGUCCGGAUUCAUUGGGCUUAAAGGGCGCGUAGGCGGCCUUAUAAGUCAGUGGUGAAAUCUCUCGGCUUAACCGAGAAAUUGCCAUUGAUACUGUAGGGCUUGAGUAUAGUUGCCGUUGGCGGAAUAUGACAUGUAGUGGUGAAAUACAUAGAGAUGUCAUAGAACACCGAUUGCGAAGGCAGCUGACGAAACUAUAACUGACACUGAGGCUCGAAAGUGCGGGGAGCAAACAGG